GAUAUAAAUUUAGUCAACUGCCAGGGCACUACGAACACAUGUUUAAAACCCAAAGGAAUUGGCGGUAUUAUAACCAACUAGGGGAACCUGUUCCUUAAUUCGAUAACCCACGAAAAUCUUACUCACUCUAGCUGAUCAGCUUAUAUACCGUCGUUUAGCUAACCCUCCGAGGGAAAAUAAGUUAGCAAAAAAGGUCUUCCCCUAAUAAAACAGAUAAAGGUGUAGCCAACGAGUGAGGGAGAAUUUGUUACAAUUAAUAAUUUGUUAAUGGAUCAAAAAUGAAAUUUUUUGGAGAAAGAGGACUUAGAAGUAAUUUUUUUUAAUAAAAACAAAUGAAUACGGCUCUAUA
rnacentral:rRNA from 1 species